UUGGUUAGUUGAAUAUUUUAAUUGGCAUUCUUAUUUUCCAUUUCGUCUUCCAAGAACCUUUUAGGCAACUUCCUCAAAACAAAUUCUUUCCGUAAAAAAAAAAAGGGAAAAAAUUGGAAGUUUAACAGAGUGAAAGACGAAGAACAAUUAAAAGUUAUGAAAAUCUUGCCAUUUCUAAGUUAAUUUCCGUUCCUUCCUUCGCUACACAAUUGUUGGGUUAAUUUCGUUUCCUUUACACAAUUCCGUAGCGGUUUCAAGCGCAGAAUUACCGCAAAACGAACAAUGGAGUCAUCAAUGACAGGGGGGGAACAGGAAAUAACAGAGCAAGGUCCCCAGGAUACUGCAGGAGUGCAAAGGCCCCAAGAGAGUGGAGCACUCAUAGUUCCCAAGAUGAUGAAGCCAUUGAGGGUGGGGAGGAAGUAUCAAAUUGGCCCAAUGACGAUUCUUCCCAAAAGGUUAAUCCGAGCGAUAACAAAGUGUCGACAUUAGCACUUGUUGACGGGGAAGAGGAUGGUAAUGAACAAAAGGGAAGAGAGCCCCUGACAAAGUCAAUUGAAGCACCCAAAGAAUGCACUGAGCCUGAACUUGAAACUAAAAUGGCUGAAGUUGAGUCAAAGGCAACCACUGUAGAUGAAGGUGCGGAUGAUAUUAGCGAAACAUCAAAUGAAAAAGGGGUUGUUGCUGACUCAAAGGCAUAUAAGGUUGAUGAGGUUGAUGAUAAUACAAAAAUUGCAACAUCAUCAAUUGAAAAAGAGGUUGAUGGUGAGUCCAAUACAAACAAGGUAUAUGAAUCAAACAAGGAAGGCAUUGUGGCUGAAGAAGUUACUAAGAGGUUGAUUCAAAGGCAGAUAAUGUAGUUGAAGAUGCUGAUCAUGCUUAAAUUGCAAAAUCAAGUUUGAAAGAGGUUGUUGCUGAGUCAGAGUCAAAUCAAGUACAUGAAGUUGCUGCUACUUCUGUGAUUGCUACAUAAAAUAAAAUAGAGUGUUCGAUUGCAUCGGAAGGAACUUUGGAUAGACCUACUGACAAACCCUUUUCAUUGAACAACAAAGAGCUUGGUGGUUCAGACAAUGAUUUUCAGCCAAUGGAGGUUCUAAAGGAAGAAUGACAACAAGGAAGUCUGGAAGGCUAAAGAAAGAGGCCUCUGUCAAAGCUAAAGAGGUUACAGAUGUAGAAGUGGAUGAUGAACCUCAAAGAAAACGAGGACGACCCCACGUGGAGGGACCUAAAAACUUCCCCGUCGUUAGGGCUUACCCUGAAGAGGUACAAAAGAUUGUGAAGGCAAUGGUUCGGGAAAGAAAAAAGUUUGUGGAGAAAACCAAUUUCAAGACUUUCCUCAACAUGAAAAUUAAACAGUUUGAAAAAAAAUUCUUGGCGCAUUUAUUUAGUCGUUGGGAUGCGGAUAAACAAGUGUUACGUAUCCGAGACAACUAUGAACUGAAGAUAGAUGAUGAGAUGGUUGGUUGGAUCACCGGACUUCCUUACGGUGAAUUAACUUAUGACAUUCCAGAGCUGGAUUGCAAUGACUCGAAGUUCAAAGCGUUAAAGAAAAAAUACAAAAAUUCAGGAGGUAUUAGCUACGAUCUGGUGUACAUCAAGUGCUUGGAUGAAGAUGAGGAAAACGAUGACUUUUUGAACCACUUUGUUCUUUAUGUUGUUGCAACCGUUUUUAUGCAUUACAACUAACAACAACAUUAGCCCAGAUCACUGUUGGUUGUUAAAAAAGCAAGUUUAUUAAUGGAGCGAAAAAUUAUAACUAGUCCAAAUACGUACUUGACUGGGUGGUCAAGUAUGGAGGAGGUGAUCCUGACAAAGGAUUUAAGGGAUCUCCAAUUGUGCUUAUGAUCGCAUACUUGGACCGUUUGAACAUAAAUGGGAAGGGGCUGAUGUGGGAUAAGAAUAAGCCAAGGAUUGGUGCAUGGCAACAAAAUUGUAUUGACAAAGCAAUUGCGGCUGAUAAGAGACCGGAUGGAACCUUCGGUGCAACUGUGGUUUUCCAUGGUGUUCUUUAUGGAGAUAACUAUCCAAUUGGACGGUCAUACAAAAUACCAAAUUGGCUAAGAACCCCAAGUUCAGGUUCCAAAGCGAGUGGUAGUGAUUCGGAUAACGAUUUGUUGAUCGAAAAUAAGGUAGAGAGAAUCAGAAAAAUUCAAGCGAAGAAGAGGGAGGACAAAGCAGUCAUGAGGAGAGGGAGAUCCAAGGCUGAUGGUUCUCGUGGGAGUGAUGAGGACUCGGACUCCCUAGAUCGUAAGAAAGUAAAGACAGCGAAGACCGGGGCUGGUUCAAAGUGCCCUGAAGAGACCUUUUCAAGAAAAAGAAGCUGCCGCACAAGAGAUACUCUAGAAAUGAUGUCAUAGGGUAAUUAUAAUAUUGAAACAAGAGAUACUCUAGAAAUGAUGUCAUAGAGUAAUUAUAAUAUUGAAACUGAUAAGUGAUGCACGGGGCACCAAGAGGGGGGCGAGUACCAACCCUAAGACUCCUGUUAGGACAAGUCAUAGGGUUCCAAAAGCGACAACUGCUACAAGAAGAAGCCUCCGCAAUAUAACUCCUGCAAAUCGCAUUCCUAAGGCUCCUGCAUAUACCAUUCCUAGUGCCCCUGCAGAGACAAACCCUUCAAGAAGAAGCUCCCUCAAUAAGGGUCCACCUUUGAUCAACGUUGAAGAUAAACAAGAUGUCGAUAGUGGAAUUGGUUUGUGGUCUACAGGGUCUUAAAAAAUCGAAGGAUGGGCUGGAUGACAAGCGUCAUGCGGAGACUAGUUCAAGAAAAAAGAGGCUCUCGGAAAGCUACGUCAAAUGACAAUACUAAGGAUGAAGAGACUGAUGUGGGUUCUAGAGCGAGAGGGGCGAAGAAGACCAAGCACGGAACUGAUGAUCAAUCACCAAAUGUACAUAAUGAUGAUGAAGACGUGAUUAAUAAGGAAAGUGAUGAAGAAACGCUUUUACCACCCAUCAUUCCUCCCAAGAACAGAAAAAUUGUUGAAGAAAUAGUGGAUGAGAAAUCAAAAGCAGCGUUCAGAAGGUACUUUUUUUUAAGCAUCGAACACUCACUUUGACUCCUGAGAUCUUUCAUGACUCUUUCAACAACAAUGGGUUAAUUUCAAUAGAGGUCAUGGAGGCCUAUGUGAAAUUGUUCAACAACUUUACGACACAAAUCCUGAGUUAGGGCAGAGAGCUUAAAUCCUCCCACCAACCUACAUGUGUGAGCUUUUGAGAAACCAUCUAGAGAAGAAGAUAUAGAGGACAGCGUGAACAAAUGUGUUAUAGCCAUUCAAACUGAUGCUGCAGUUAUAGAACAAUUUCAGAACCAUGAAAAGAUAUUCAUGCCAGUGUUGCACAAUGGCAAAUGGACUUUGUACGUGGCACGUACUGAAGAAAAACUUGUCGUUGUCUUUGACACCAAACAUUAUUCUCAAGAGAGUUAUCAUAAGACUUUACUUCCUUCCGUGCUGAGGUAUACAGUUAAGGUUGUGUUGAUCAUUACAAAAAGUAAAUCACUUCAAAUGGAGUCAUGGAAAGUAAUGACGUUUAACAACAUACCGACGGAAAUGAAGCCUCAAGAUUCAGGGAUGCUAUGUAUUCUGUUCAUGAUGAUCAUAUUAGACGAUGUUGACAUGUGGAUGCAUUGGUACAAAGAUAAUGAAUGGAUUUACAAGCAGCAAGUGUGCUCAUUGAUCUUGACGGAUGAAGUAAACGAGCUGCAUGGAUCGAUGUGGGACUUGGUUAAUGCUGAAGAUCCUUAGUUGACUAUAUUUUAUUUCGCGAAAAAUGUAUUGUGAUAAACCAAAAUAUUCUCGCCGGAAUGAUUAGUAGUAGUACAAGUCUAGCUUUUUACCUAACUGAUCUGGUUAAGGUAGGACAUAUAUAUUACGAAUUAUGGUAUGUUGUAGGACAAGGUAUGUAUUGUGGUAUGUAUUUUAGUUCAUUAUGAACGUAUA